GAUGAACGCUGACAGAAUGCUUAACACAUGCAAGUCUACUUGAUCCUUCGGGUGAUGGUGGCGGACGGGUGAGUAACGCGUAAAGAACUUGCCCUGCAGUCUGGGACAACAUUUGGAAACGAAUGCUAAUACCGGAUAUUAUGCGAGAUUCGCAUGUUUCUCGUAUGAAAGCUAUAUGCGCUGCAGGAGAGCUUUGCGUCCUAUUAGCUAGUUGGUGAGGUAACGGCUCACCAAGGCGAUGAUAGGUAGCCGGCCUGAGAGGGUGAACGGCCACAAGGGGACUGAGACACGGCCCUUACUCCUACGGGAGGCAGCAGUGGGGAAUAUUGGACAAUGGACCAAAAGUCUGAUCCAGCAAUUCUGUGUGCACGAUGAAGUUUUUCGGAAUGUAAAGUGCUUUCAGUUGGGACGAAGUAAGUGACGGUACCAACAGAAGAAGCGACGGCUAAAUACGUGCCAGCAGCCGCGGUAAUACGUAUGUCGCAAGCGUUAUCCGGAUUUAUUGGGCGUAAAGCGCGUCUAGGCGGUUUGGUAAGUCUGAUGUGAAAAUGCGGGGCUCAACUCCGUAUUGCGUUGGAAACUGUCAAACUAGAGUACUGGAGAGGUGGGCGGAACUACAAGUGUAGAGGUGAAAUUCGUAGAUAUUUGUAGGAAUGCCGAUGGGGAAGCCAGCCCACUGGACAGAUACUGACGCUAAAGCGCGAAAGCGUGGGUAGCAAACAGGAUUAGAUACCCUGGUAGUCCACGCCGUAAACGAUGAUUACUAGGUGUUGGGGGUCGAACCUCAGCGCCCAAGCUAACGCGAUAAGUAAUCCGCCUGGGGAGUACGUACGCAAGUAUGAAACUCAAAGGAAUUGACGGGGACCCGCACAAGCGGUGGAGCAUGUGGUUUAAUUCGACGCAACGCGAGGAACCUUACCAGCGUUUGACAUCCUAGGAAGUUGGCAGAGAUGCCUUCGUGCCCCUUCGGGGGAACCUAGUGACAGGUGGUGCAUGGCUGUCGUCAGCUCGCGUCGUGAGAUGUUGGGUUAAGUCCCGCAACGAGCGCAACCCCCUUCGUAUGUUGCCAUCAUUAAGUUGGGAACUCAUGCGAUACUGCCUGCGAUGAGCAGGAGGAAGGUGGGGAUGACGUCAAGUCAUCAUGCCCCUUAUACGCUGGGCUACACACGUGCUACAAUGGGUAGUACAGAGAGUCGCUAACCUGCGAGGGGGAGCUAAUCUCAGAAAACUAUUCUCAGUUCGGAUUGUACUCUGCAACUCGAGUACAUGAAGUUGGAAUCGCUAGUAAUCGCAAAUCAGCUAUGUUGCGGUGAAUACGUUCUCGGGUCU
rnacentral:rRNA from 1 species